CAUGCUCUCCUGCUCAACUACCACUAGCAUGGGUUCUCCACCAAGGAAAUGAUGUCGUACCUAUCCCGGGGACAACAAAUAUUAAGAACCUGGAUUCAAACAUUGACUCCUUGAAGGUGAGCCUGAAGCUCUUUCAUUCUAAUUAUAUUAUAUGAUUUGACGAAUCAAUCAUGCUCUCAGUACGGGCAUCCUCGUUUCCAAGCAGACAACCUUGAGAAGAGCAAGAUUACAUAUAGUAGAAUACAAAAGUUGGCUGAAAAGCAUAGAUGCAGCACUGCGCAACUUUCCCUUGCCUGGAUUCGUGGUCAAGGCGAUGAUGUGGUACCUAUCCCCGGGACAACUAAGA